AUGUCUUCCUCAAGCUCCCGCGCCACCUCGCGGAUGCAGAGCCGGACGCGUGUGGACAUGCCUGUUUUCGUCUGUCCGCGGUGCCGGGCGGGCGUUGUUCGGCGUUUCUCACACACGAGGAACCAGAAUCGUCCGUUCUACGUGUGCAGCGAGAAUGGGGUGACAUGCUUCUUUCUUUGGGUCAAUGCUCUAGCCAAGACUCUGAUGAAUGAGCUGCAAGAAGAGUAUGAAGAAUGGUUGUGCAUGCUGCCACCAACGGCAGUGGCCGCAGCACGAGCUCCGGAAGAAGAGAUGGAGGGCGAAGCACGCACUGACAGAGAGCUACCUGUUGAGCUUAGGAUGUUGAAGAAGAAGGUUAGGAAGCUUGAAGAUCAAGCACUACCAAUACCCAUUUGCAAAUACUUAUGAGCAUUUGUAGGUAUGGUAAUCGCAUUGGUUGUAAUGUUGAAAAUGUAUGGAAAGGCAUGA
rnacentral:rRNA from 1 species